UUCCCCGCUGAGGACGCCGCCCGGGAACCCGAAGGCCGGGUGGCUGGGAGCGGGGUCCGCGCCUGCACUUCGUCUGAAAAGUAGGCGCGCCGACCGCCCACUUCCUGAGUAGUUCGCUCAAAUUUUUACAACUUCUGCAGGUCCUGCGGCCGGGCCAAAAGCGCUCGUUCAGCCAAGAGAAGUGGAAACUAUUUUUGGCAUCCAGAAAGGCAGCCCCAGGGCGCGGAUUGCAGCGGCGCCGAAAGCGCUCGCCUGCAUUAACUUGGAGCGCAUUCCAGGUCCAAGUCCUUCCGUACAUCUCGGGGCCCCGGGCACCCGCGUUCGGGCACGCGAUCCGGCCUCUGAGGUGAGAACGAGAAGAAUCCAAACCGAGACUACCUAUACUCUACGGAAGCAUCACUAUAUCGGCAAAGAAGCUGCGGACACGACGGGGGUGCAUACGCCGGGACGGACGGCGGCCGGGCCGGCCCAGGGGUGGCGGCAGGUGCCGGGCACCUGGCCUCAGCUCUCGAAGGCAAUUCUGAGCGUGGCGGCUGCAACUACUCGCUAGCAGACAGCGGGCGCCCCCAGGGCCGGCCGCGGGGCCCCGGGGGGGACAUCGUCUUUCCCAGCUCGGGUCGGGUCCUUGCGGAGAACGGAGCGUUUGUACAGGGAGCCGUAUAAAGUGCCGCGGGGGUGUACGUACAUCUAUACACGUGCGUGCCGAGGUGGAGCACGGGUCCGAGUGUCCGCCGCGCGUCUCCGGGUCCGCCGGGAGGGCCCCGCCCCGGCUCCGGCCAGCGCCGCGCGGCUCUGGCGCAGGAAUUGCACGGUCCGCACGGGUACGCAGGACAAGUACUUUUGUACUUCCUGCGUAACAUCAAGACAUGGAAGGAAGCGAUGCUACAACGUGUGGAGAGUCAACACCAGAGAACACGGCACGUCCUAGGGACUAUCGGGAGGGCGGGGCGCAGCCGCGGCGGCGGGCGUGGCGCACAGCGAGUGCCGAGUCACGUAAAACGAACAGCACAGGACAACUCUACAAGGCUGUGCAGACGCUCUAGGGUCCACCGGUCUCCAGCGACAGGGGCAGAGGUGGCGGCGGCGGGGGAGUUCUGAGUGGGGCCCACCGCGCCUCAGGCCCAGGCGGGGGCGGGCGACGCCGCAGGGAGCAGCUCUGCCGCUGGAUCCAGCUGGAAAUCCAGUCCAGUGACUCGCAGGCUGGCAAACCGCUUCCCUCUGGGCCCCGAGUGUGAACCGGCAAUGACAACAGCUGUACAGCUGUUCAGGCGGCCGGGGGAGCAAACACCCAAAUGACUGGAGCUCGAGUGAAAGCGCACGGGCUCUGCUGGACAAGCCGUGUCGCAAUGAGGGACAGUCCGGGGGCCAGGACACUCUCGGGGAGGUCAGAGAAGGCUGCUGCAGGGUGUACUGAACACGGAAAAGGAAAUCUUCGCGGCGUCCGCCUCUCCCGAGCCCCCGUCUCACUGGCGUUCCCAGGGCCACGCCGCGCACGGCGCAGGAGCUAAUUUAAAAGAGCUGUGAGAGCUGCUUUGAAUCUUCUGCCAAGUUUCCAUGGCUUGAUGUUGUCUUACAAUAAAUUACUUAUUUCUUACA